UACGAAGGUGGCAAGCGUUGUUCGGAUUUACUGGGCGUAAAGGGAGCGUAGGUGGUUAGGUAAGCCCUCCGGGAAAUCUUCAGGCUUAACCUGAAAAGGUCGGGGGGGACUGCCUGGCUAGAGGACGGGAGAGGAGCGCGGAAUUCCCGGUGUAGCGGUGAAAUGCGUAGAGAUCGGGAGGAAGGCCGGUGGCGAAGGCGGGUCUCUGGGCCGAUACUGACGCUGAGGAGCGAAAGCGUGGGGAGCAAACAGG
rnacentral:rRNA from 1 species